rnacentral:lncRNA from 1 species
CCCGCCACAUUAUUUAUGUAUGUGCCUGUCCCGAGUCAGGAGCCUGUAAUCCAGUGGUUGUCGUUUGUUUAUGUGUUACAUAUUCAUUUUUUUUACAUAAAUAAGGCCGUUAGUUUUCUCGUUUGAAUUGUUUUACAUUGUCUUAUCGGGGCCUUUUAUAGCUGACUAUGCGGUAUGGGCUUUGCUCAUUGUUGAAGGCCGUACGGUGACCUAUAGUUGUUAAUGUCUGUCAUUUUGGUCUCUUGUGGAUAGUUGUCUCAUUGGCAAUCAUACCACAUCUUUUUUAUAUUAAAAA